UCUACAAACAGGAUUCAAAGCAUAAGAGGGCUGAAAGACUCUGAAGUAUGUAGAACCAGAAAUUGCUCUCGGCUCUCCUAAGAUGUCACCAGCCUUUAGUGAGCUCACGUUCAGCAGUCAAGCAGGCAGUGAAGACCUGAAAGGGUGGGCAUGAAGAGUUGGAGGAUGGGUGCUGACUUGUUAUGUGGCUGAGGAUCUGUGGAAUUCUCAUCUGUCAUGCCAGGCCACCCACAGUUAUUAAAAGACCAUUACAGAGAAGCUAUAUGAUGUUCUGCACUCUGCACACAUCUUAG
rnacentral:lncRNA from 13 species